rnacentral:precursor_RNA from 15 species
AUAUUUAUAUAUCUAAUUGGUGUCUUUUGAGCUUUGCCCAGAAGAUCUCACUAAUUUGUUUUAGAUUUCGUUAUUGAGAUAUUCUGAGCAAGCAUAAAAGGCUGCCACCAGCAACAGCUGAUACA